AUUGAACGCUGGCGGCAUGCCUUACACAUGCAAGUCGAACGGUAACGGGCCUUCGGGUGCCGACGAGUGGCGAACGGGUGAGUAAUACAUCGGAACGUGCCCGAUCGUGGGGGAUAACGAGGCGAAAGCUUUGCUAAUACCGCAUACGAUCUACGGAUGAAAGCAGGGGACCGCAAGGCCUUGCGCGGACGGAGCGGCCGAGGGCAGAUUAGGUAGUUGGUGGGAUAAAAGCUUACCAAGCCGACGAUCUGUAGCUGGUCGGAGAGAAUGAUGAGCGACACUAGGAGUGAGACACGGACCAGACUCCUACGGGAGGCAGCAGUGGGGAAUGUUGGACAAUGGGCGCAAGCCUGAUCCAGCCAUGCCGCGUGCAGGAUGAAGGCCUUCGGGUUGUAAACUGCUUUUGUACGGAACGAAAAGCCUUCUUUUAAUACAGGAGGGUCAUGACGGUACCGUAAGAAUAAGCACCGGCUAACUACGUG
rnacentral:rRNA from 1 species